UACGUAGGUGACAAGCGUUGUCCGGAUUUACUGGGCGUAAAGAGCGCGCAGGCGGUCGAUCAAGUCGAGUGUGAAAGCCCCCGGCUCAACUGGGGAGGGUCAUUCGAUACUGAUCGACUCGAAGGCAGGAGAGGGUAGUGGAAUUCCCGGUGUAGUGGUGAAAUGCGUAGAUAUCGGGAGGAACACCGGUGGCGAAGGCGGCAUCCUGGACCAACACUGACACUGAUGAGCGAAAGCCAGGGGAGCAAACAGG
rnacentral:rRNA from 1 species